AGAUACGUACAACCGUUAGGUGAACAAAACUACUAUACUCUGUAGUAACUGGUUGCAAGAGUAUAAAAAGGGCAGAUCGAACAUUAGAUACACUCGUACACGUAAUACUUCAUUUAGUCAGCGACGUCCAAGUGACCCUUCCGUAGUGACAACGUAGUUGUUUUUGAUCUCUAUUAAUCACACUUGAGGAAUCUUGCUGUUUCAAUGUAAAUGAAAACUCGCCACCUUCCACAACGUGGAUACUAACACAAAUUGGAUUUUUUUUACGAAAAAUACUUUUAUAUGUAUAAAAACAAUAUUCCAAAAUUUAUAAAUAAAAUUAAAUACGAACUCAUAUCAUGUUUAUGAUUUAUUUAUUUUCUUAAAACGCAGAUCACUGUUAAUGUUUUAAACUGUCUCAUCGUUUUUUUCGCAGAUAUGAAAGAGAGUUAAAUUCUCAUACAUUAGGAAAAUUCAUACAUUAUGGUCAACUAUAUUACAAAAAUUUUUGGCAAAAAUCCGAACUUCCUACCUCGAAAAUUUUCACAUCACAUUGUUACUUACCUGUAGGACAUUUAACCAUACAUACUAUAUAACCAUUCGUAUUCAUCUUCAAUAAAUGCAUGAUGUUGGCAACAAACUUCACAUGGCGCAGAGUGAAAGAAAUACAAGAGGACACGAAUGAAACGAAGCCAGCGGAUAUCUCCUUUUUAUAAAAUUGAAAUAAGUGAACUAUAAAUUUUUUAUAUUUUUAUAUAGAACCUCGUAAACAUUAUGAUUCACUUUUUACAUAACAACUCAACCUUCGAAAGUAUAUAUUGGAAAGAACGAUAACCAUAUUCAGAAGGAAAAAAAGAAGAAGGAAGUAACAGAAAAAAAUAAAAAAUUGUUUGAAAUGGAAGGAACCGUUGAAAACGUCGAAAUGCAGGACUCAAACGUGUGUUGUAAUUUGGUGAAUUCAAGCGUUCUAUUAGAGCUGAUAAAAGUGCUGCAGUAAGGUAGAAAUAUGUUAGUCUGAGGACGUGACUAUUAAAAUUGAAAAGUAGUUAAAAAUGGCAAAUCAAGCUUCUUACGCACAGCUACAAACGAAACCAUUAGUUUUCGGAAAAGAUAAAAGAACAGCUGGUAAGUUGAAAAGUGCCGUGUCGCAGUAGUACGAAGAGCUUGACCACCUGGCCGACAGGGAAAUAUUGCGAUAGCGGCGAGGGGUGUGUUAUCUUUAGAAGUUGAAGUUGAUAAUGUAAUAUCUAAUCAUAAAAUAAACAACUAAAUUAUUGUGGAAUAUGAAUUUGUUCAGUAAUUCCAAUUAGAAGUUAAUGCUUGGAAAAUUGUUUCCCCGAGUAGACAAAUAGAAUACACAAAGAGGUCGAAUUUAAAUGCUGCAAUAUCAUAGAGAUGGUGCCAGAAUAUAUAAAUAUUGUAAUUAAUUAAUGAAUACAAUCCUUUAGCUAACACGAGUCAUCACCCUAUUCUACUGAAAAUACUACCAAAAGAUGAUUUUUUUAUUUUCUAUGAGAGUCCAACCCGAUUAUCUGCAGCAGAGCAUGAGAUUGUUAAGAGCCAAGUAAACGAGUGGUUAAGGCUUGGUGUAGUUCGUGAAUCCAACGCAGACAUAGAUAGUAAAGUAAACCUUGCGAAAACCGCUUAGGGAUUUUGUAAGUCGCCAACAGUGUUCAUGCACAUAGCAGAAUUUCAGAUUGGUCAUGUGCAGCAGUAAGCUUUUACUUGAUUUGAAGGCAGCCCUUAUUCAAGAGCGUACGACAUUAGUAGAAGAGCGUGAAGAAAGUGACAUCCUGUAUUUUAUUGGAGUCGCCAAACCUCACCCCAAUAAGAAGAGUCACAUUGUUACUUUCACGAAGUACAACCUGCGUACUUAGCAAAAAAGAAGUUACGCCAUUAUUCAAUGAGAAUUUAGUAUGAUUUAGUUACCGAUUGUGCGGCGUUUAAUCAGACUGCCGCGAAAAAGGAGAAGAACAGCCUAAGCCGUUAUAGAAUUGUGGUCGUUACAUCGCAGAAAAGUACCAAUUUCGAAGGCCAAACAACAUGAUGAUCACAUAAAAGUGAUAGCUGCAAUUCUCAACGAAACACCAUACGCGAAUUACGUCAUGAAAACCGAGGUACUAUACAAGCAUUGAAGGGACGAGACCUAUUUGUAGUACCGCAUAAUAUGGAAAAAGAAAUUAUACGAAACGUUUACAAUUUUGGUAACAUAAACUUUCUGAAAACAAUGCACACGAUCCGACAAGAUAUUAUCACAGCAUAUUUAGAAAUAAAAGAAGCAGCAUAUGUCCGACUGAGUUGAGUGCAGCCAUGUCGAUCAUUUGGAUAUCUUACGUUCCACGUCGAAGUACUCAAGCCCAAAAAAUAAGGUGGCAUUUGAAUUUAAACUGCGCGCUUCGAAGGAUUUGGAGAAA
rnacentral:lncRNA from 1 species